GGGACACUGGUCAAAUGUGAGUAGAGUAAGGUCUGAAGUUCAGGAGCUAGGAAGACAGAACGUUACCGUAAUGAUUGUGGCAAUUUCAGAAAACUACGACUUUACACAUAUGUAUGAAGUGAUUCAAGAUCCUUUCUAUGUUUUUUUAAUCAAUGAUAUAGAACGAUGGUCGUUGAUUGACAUUAUAGUGUCUCAGACAUUCAAAAUGCAUUGUGACUACCUAUGAAAGUAAAGGCAAGGUAUAUU
rnacentral:misc_RNA from 1 species